CAGUGUUACAGCUCUUUUAGAAUUUGUCUAGCAGGAGCUGGAUGGGCCAGCGGUGUUCUCCAGA